AUACGUUCGCUUGGCUCCUGAUUAUGAUGCUCUGGAUGUUGCCAACAAAAUUGGGAUCAUCUAAACUGAAUCCAGCUGGCUAAUUCCAAAUAUACUCUUUUUCACCAUAAAUAA